rnacentral:rRNA from 1 species
AUUGAACGCUGGCGACAUGCCUUACACAUGCAAGUCGAACGGUAACAGGUCUUCGGAUGCUGACGAGUGGCGAACGGGUGAGUAAUACAUCGGAACGUGCCCGAUCGUGGGGGAUAACGAGGCGAAAGCUUUGCUAAUACCGCAUACGAUCUACGGAUGAAAGCGGGGGAUCUUCGGACCUCGCGCGGACGGAGCGGCCGAUGGCAGAUUAGGUAGUUGGUGGGAUAAAAGCUUACCAAGCCGACGAUCUGUAGCUGGUCUGAGAGGAUGAUCAGCCACACUGGGACUGAGACACGGCCCAGACUCCUACGGGAGGCAGCAGUGGGGAAUUUUGGACAAUGGGCGAAAGCCUGAUCCAGCCAUGCCGCGUGCAGGAUGAAGGCCUUUGGGUUGUAAACUGCUUUUGUACGGAACGAAAAGCCUCUUUCUAAUAAAGAGGGGUCAUGACGGUACCGUAAGAAUAAGCACCGGCUAACUACGUG